GACGAACGCUGGCGGCGUGCCUAAUACAUGCAAGUCGAACGCAUUUUCUUUCACCGUAGCUUGCUACACCGAAAGAAAAUGAGUGGCGAACGGGUGAGUAACACGUGGGUAACCUGCCCAUCAGCGGGGGAUAACACUUGGAAACAGGUGCUAAUACCGCAUAAUUCCAUUUACCGCAUGGUAGAUGGGUGAAAGGCGCUUUUGCGUCACUGAUGGAUGGACCCGCGGUGCAUUAGCUAGUUGGUGGGGUAACGGCCUACCAAGGCUGCGAUGCAUAGCCGACCUGAGAGGGUGAUCGGCCACACUGGGACUGAGACACGGCCCAGACUCCUACGGGAGGCAGCAGUAGGGAAUCUUCGGCAAUGGACGCAAGUCUGACCGAGCAACGCCGCGUGAGUGAAGAAGGUUUUCGGAUUGUAAAACUCUGUUGUUAGAGAAGAACAAGGAUGAGAGUGGAAAGUUCAUCCCUUGACGGUAGCUAACCAGAAAGCCACGGCUAACUACGUG
rnacentral:rRNA from 1 species